rnacentral:lncRNA from 1 species
UCUCUGAUAUCUACCUUUGGCAUUGUAAGUUAGGUCAUGUUAACAAAAAUAGAAAAAUAGGUUGACACAAGAGAAAAUUUUUGAAGUCAGUGAUUGUGAAUCACUCCCAACCUGUGAAUCCUAUCUUCUUAGAAAAAUGAUCAAGUCACCUUUUACUGAAAAAGAUGAGCGAGCCAGUAAAGUUCUCGAUUUGAUAUAUAUUGAUGUAUGUGGACCGAUGAACACUAGUGCCAG